GUACCCGUAGCUCAGCGGAUAGAGCGUUGGUUUGCGGAACCAAAGGCCGGAGGUUCAAAUCCUCUCGGGUACACCA
rnacentral:tRNA from 1 species